AUUGAACGCUGGCGGCAUGCCUUACACAUGCAAGUCGAACGGCAGCACGGGAGCAAUCCUGGUGGCGAGUGGCGAACGGGUGAGUAAUAUAUCGGAACGUGCCCAGUCGUGGGGAUAACGUAGCGAAAGCUACGCUAAUACCGCAUACGAUCUAUGGAUGAAAGCGGGGGAUCGCAAGACCUCGCGCGAUUGGAGCGGCCGAUAUCAGAUUAGGUAGUUGGUGAGGUAAAGGCUCACCAAGCCGACGAUCUGUAGCUGGUCUGAGAGGACGACCAGCCACACUGGGACUGAGACACGGCCCAGACUCCUACGGGAGGCAGCAGUGGGGAAUUUUGGACAAUGGCGCAAGCCUGAUCCAGCAAUGCCGCGUGCAGGAUGAAGGCCUUCGGUUGGUAAAC
rnacentral:rRNA from 1 species